rnacentral:rRNA from 1 species
AUCUAUAGCCAUACCACCCUGAAUGUGCCUGAUCUUGGAAGCUAAGCAGGGUCGGGCCUUGUUAGUACUUGGCUGGGAGAAGACUACUGAACCCAAAAAUUGCUGAUCCACAGAAUCAUAAGAAAUUAUUGUUU